rnacentral:rRNA from 1 species
UCACUUGUCCCCUAAAUAGGGACUGGAAUGAAUGGCUUAAUGAGGACAAAACUGUCUCUUACGGACUAGCCAAUGAAAUUGAUCCUUCAGUACAAAAGCUGAAAUUAACCCAUAAGACGAGAAGACCCUGUGGAGCUUCAAAACCAAAACCACCAAACAUGCUUCCUGGUUUUUUAGUUGGGGCGACUUUGGAGCAAAAAAAACCCUCCAAAACAUAAAUCCAUUUAUUAAGACUAACACAUCAAAAAUAAUAUCAUAGACCCAGCAGUACCUAUUUACUGCCUGACCAAUGAACCAAGUUACCCCAGGGAUAACAGCGCCAUCCUCUUCUAGAGUCCCUAUCGACAAGAGGGUUUACGACCUCGAUGUUGGAUCAGGGCACCCCUAUAGUGCAGCCGCUAUAAAAGGUUCGUUUGUUCAACGAUUAAAGUCCUACGUGAUCUGAGUUC